rnacentral:rRNA from 1 species
UACGUAGGGUGCGAGCGUUAAUCGGAAUUACUGGGCGUAAAGCGUGCGCAGGCGGUUCGUUGUGUCCGAUGUGAAAUCCCCGGGCUUAACCUGGGAACUGCGUUUCUAACUGGCAGGCUUGAGUGUGGCAGAGGGGGGUGGAAUUCCACGUGUAGCAGUGAAAUGCGUAGAGAUGUGGAGGAACACCGAUGGCGAAGGCAGCCCCCUGGGCUAACACUGACGCUCAUGCACGAAAGCGUGGGGAGCAAACAGG